rnacentral:rRNA from 1 species
GAUGAACGCUGGCGGCGUGCCUAACACAUGCAAGUCGAACGAGAUGCGUAUUGGAAAGCUUCGGCCGGAAGAUACGUUAUCUAGUGGCGGACGGGUGAGUAACACGUGGGUAACCUGCCUUAUGGAGGGGGAUAACAGAGAGAAAUCACUGCUAAUACCGCAUAAGCACACAGUACCGCAUGGUACAGGGUGAAAAGAUUUAUCACCAUAAGAUGGACCCGCGUCUGAUUAGCCAGUUGGCAGGGUAAAAGCCUACCAAAGCAACGAUCAGUAGCCGAUCUGAGAGGAUGACCGGCCACAUUGGGACUGAGACACGGCCCAAACUCCUACGGGAGGCAGCAGUGGGGAAUAUUGCACAAUGGGGGAAACCCUGAUGCAGCGACGCCGCGUGAGUGAAGAAGUAUUUCGGUAUGUAAAGCUCUAUCAGCAGGGAAGAUAAUGACAGUACCUGACUAAGAAGCCCCGGCUAACUACGUGCCAGCAGCCGCGGUAAUACGUAGGGGGCAAGCGUUAUCCGGAUUUAUUGGGCGUAAAGCGAGCGCAGGCGGUUAGAUAAGUCUGAAGUUAAAGGCUGUGGCUUAACCAUAGUACGCUUUGGAAACUGUCAAACUUGAGUGCAGAAGGGGAGAGUGGAAUUCCAUGUGUAGCGGUGAAAUGCGUAGAUAUAUGGAGGAACACCGGUGGCGAAAGCGGCUCUCUGGUCUGUAACUGACGCUGAGGCUCGAAAGCGUGGGGAGCGAACAGG